UUUUCUCCUGGUAUCCACUGCCGGCCUAUAUGUCCUAUUUCGGUACUCAUAAGGCACGCGGUGAAUGCCAAGAGCG
rnacentral:pre_miRNA from 1 species